rnacentral:rRNA from 1 species
CCUACGGGUGGCACCAGUGGGGAAUUUUCCGCAAUGGGCGCAAGCCUGAUCCAGCCAUGCCGCGUGAGUGAAGAAGGCCUUAGGGUUGUAAAGCUCUUUCACCGGUGAAGAUAAUGACGAUAACCGGAGAAGAAGCCCCGGCUAACUUCGUGCCAGCAGCCGCGGUAAUACGAAGGGGGCUAGCGUUGUUCGGAAUUACUGGGCGUAAAGCGCGCGUAGGCGGAUAGAUAAGUCAGAGGUGAAAUCCCGGGGCUCAACCCCGGAAUUGCCUUUGAUACUGUUUAUCUUGAGUGCAGAAGAGGUAAGUGGAAUUCCGAGUGUAGAGGUGAAAUUCGUAGAUAUUCGGAGGAACACCAGUGGCGAAGGCGGCUUACUGGUCUGCAACUGACGCUGAGGCGCGAAAGCGUGGGGAGCAAACAGGAUUAGAUACCCUUGUAGUC